CAGCAGCCGCGGGAAUACGGAGGGUGCAAGCGUUAAUCGGAAUUACUGGGCUUAAAGCGUGCGUAGGCGGUUCGUUAAGUCUGUUGUGAAAGCCCCGGGCUCAACCUGGGAAUUGCUUUUGAUACUGUGUUGCUUGAGUUCGGGAGAGGUGAGUGGAAUUCCCAGUGUAGAGGUGAAAUUCGUAGAUAUUGGGAAGAACACCGAUGGCGAAGGCAGCCCCCUGGGCUAAGAUUGACGCUCAUGCACGAAAGCGUGGGGAGCAAACAGGAUUAGAUACCCCUGUAGUCCCUGUCUCUUAUAC
rnacentral:rRNA from 1 species